UACGUAGGGUGCAAGCGUUGUCCGGAAUUAUUGAGCGUAAAGAGCUCGUAGGCGGUCUGUCGCGUCGGCUGUGAAAACUGGAGGCUCAACCUCCGGCCUGCAGUGGGUACGGGCAGACUAGAGUGCGGUAGGGGAGAUUGGAAUUCCUGGUGUAGCGGUGGAAUGCGCAGAUAUCAGGAGGAACACCGAUGGCGAAGGCAGAUCUCUGGGACCGUAACUGACGCUGAGGAGCGAAAGCAUGGGGAGCGAACAGG
rnacentral:rRNA from 1 species